GAUGAAGAACGCAGCGAAAUGCGAUACUUGGUGUGAAUUGCAGAAUCCCGUGAACCAUCGAGUCUUUGAACGCAAGUUGCGCCCGAAGCCAUUAGGCCGAGGGCACGCCUGCCUGGGCGUCACACGUCGUUGCCCCCCCAUCUACUCCUUCGGGAUUGCGGGGGGCGGAUGAUGGCCUCCUGUGCGCCUCGUCGCGCGGUUGGCAUAAAUGCCAAGUCCUCGGCGACGCACGCCACGACAAUCGGUGGUUGCGAAACCUCGGUUGCCCGUCGUGUGCGGUCGUCGCGCAUCGAGGGCUCGAAAAAAUUGCCGGGCUCCGGCUCGGCUUUCAACGCGACCCCAGGUCAGGCGGGGUUACCCGCUGAAUUUAAGCAUAUCAAUAAGCGGAGGA
rnacentral:misc_RNA from 1 species